AGAAUCAACGCUGGCGGCGUGCCUAACACAUGCAAGUCGAACGAGAAAGGGUAGCAAUACCUGAGUAAAGUGGCGCACGGGUGAGUAACACGUGACUAACCUACCUUUUAGUGGGGGAUAACCUAGGGAAACCUGGGCUAAUACCGCAUAAUACCUACGGGUCAAAGCAGCAAUGCGCUGAAUGAGGGGGUCGCGGUCGAUUAGUUAGUUGGCAGGGUAAUGGCCUACCAAGACUGUGAUCGGUA
rnacentral:rRNA from 1 species